UAGAUACCGUCCUUAUUGCCCAAAUAGGC
rnacentral:sRNA from 1 species